UAACCGUAACCCCCACUUCAAUUACUUCUGCCUACCAAUUACAAAAUCAAAUUGAGAGAAUAAAUGCCAUAUAUUGAAUGACACCAUUGCUUUUAUUUGAUUUGUCAUGUUUGUUUUGUGUGUCAUAGACACAGGGAAGAGGCACAUGUGGGGACUCCCAGUGGACAGCAGCGAGGGAAACUUCAAGGAGGGCUUCAAAAUUGGACGAAGAGGGGAUGGAGGUUGCUGUGUGUCGCCAUGGGUUCCUUUUGAAAGCCCUUAAUAUGUACAGGGGAGAGAUAUUUGCCUACCCUCUGUAUCUUCAGAAGGAGCUCAUGCCAGCCAAGGCACAAUUCUUCGCAAUGGAUGUGGCAUGCAAAUACUGGCCAUACUUGGAGAAAGCUGCUAGUGUCCUUCCUGCUCUUCAGGAGCUGACUACUAUGAAACCCUUUCUCAGUGUAAUGCAUGCUCGAGCCCAUGCUACUAAGUGUGAGGUGUGUAUAAUAUUUUAGCAUCAUAUGUACAUUUGUAAUAUUUACAAGCACAUUAAUAAUAUGAAAUUGAAGUUAAGCUACACUAUAUUAUCUUGUCUUUUUGCAUAACCAUUUCUUGCAUGGAUUGUAAUGCCCUUUGAUGCAGAUUGUGUUUUGUGAUAUUGUCCUAUAUAAAUUAAAUUAAAUGUAAUUUAAUUUCUUUCACCCUUUACUAACAGAUUAAUUGGAGUGGCAGGAACCAGGAAGGAGCAGGGACAACAGCUGGUGAGGAGGUGGAGCAAGUGAACAGUUACCUUUCACGUUGUGCCCUGACGACCAAAUACAUGUCAAAAGCAGCACGGGUGGACAUGCUUACCUUGCAUGCAAUGGGGUGGAACGAGAAAAAGAAUCUCUCUCUACAUCAGGCACUUUCCACAAGGUAAGUCUCUUAUUAAUUUUUUUGUGUGUCCUUUUGUUGUGUUUACUUGGCCUGUUGUUAAUCAUACAAAGUUGUAAUCCUGAUUAUUGUAUAACACUGUUCAUCAGACUUGUCAGAGACUCCAUGAUGAGACUGCAAGGCUAGCUGACCUAAAAACAGAGCUAGAUUGCACAGAUGAAGUGGUGUCACAGUGGCUAUCUGAUGUGAAGGAAUGGGCAGCUGGUGAGACACCUGAUACAUCUAGUGCCAGUCAAGGCACAACACACAGAGGAAUUCAGCAAUCAAUUAAGGGGCUCUACCUUAGUGUGAGGCACCGGAAGCGAACCCUCUACCGUCAGAAUGACAGCAGCAAGUUUCGCCAUCGCCUUCGAAGAAAGCUGGCAGAAGACAAAAAACUCCUUCUUCAGGAGAUACAGAAAUACAAUGAUCUUGUACUAGAAUCGGCAACAACCAUUGACGUAGCUGUGGUGGAGCAUUCCCUAACUGGAGAGAGUACUGUGUCUCAAAUAUGGCCGUGGGAAGUUCAUGGCAGUGCAAACAUUUCAAUCAAGGAACGAGUGCACGAUCAAGUGAUGUUAACAAGGCGACUGCAUGAGGAAACAAGAGUUUUGGUGUUGGAGAUGGCACAACACUGCACAUGGUUGCAGAGCCUGGCAAUGGUUCUCAAGAACAAGUUGGCUGAGGAGGACCAGGGAAAUGAGUGACUUUGCUGUCUCUUAAGAAGUCUCUUAGGUCCUGAGGCCUCUGNUGUUAUUCUUAAUAAUUAAUUUGUGUAUUUUAUUAAUGCUUUACACACCUUACUUAUUCUAAAACAGCUGAAAUUCACCCUCUUAUCCUAAUUCUUGCUUUUUUGUUUUUCUGUAUUUCCCCAGAUGGAAGCUGCACGAAGGACUAUGUUGAAGGAAAUGGACUUGCCCUAUAUCUGUGUAUUAUUAGUAUGCUGAUUGAUUAACCAC
ensembl:lncRNA